CUGGGUUAGGGGGAGGAAAGGGGUUAGGACGUUAGGCGAUUCCGUCCAAUUGACCCGGACCGGACAGGCCCGGGAAGGAAAAUUCCGGGCGAACCGGUCAACCCGGACCGGCCCGGACCGGUCCCCAACGGUAAAAUUUUUUAUUUUUUUUUUAAAAAAAAAUUUCUGAAAACAUGGGGCCCACUUGACCGUUGGCAACGGUCCAGCACCGUUGCCCAACGGGACCUUUUGCAUUUUUGGCCAAUUUUGAGUUUUUUUUAUUUUUUUUAAAUUACAUUAUUAACCCUUCUUAAAAUCUAUAAUACCCUCCCCUCUUCUUCAUUUCCUCACUCAAAAUUAUCUAUCUCUCUCUCAAUUCUCAAA
rnacentral:lncRNA from 1 species